AUGUUCAUUGGUGGCCUGAGCUGGGAUACCACCAAAAAGGACCUAAAGGAUUAUUUUACCAAAUUUGGAGAGGUCGUUGACUGUACAACAAAAAUGGAUCCCAAUACUGGCCGGUCAAGAGGGUUUGGGUUUAUCCUCUUCAAAGAUGCAGCCAGUGUGGAGACGGUUCUAGACCACAAGGAGCACAGGCUGGAUGGCCAUGUCAUUGACCCCAAAAAAGCCACGGCCAUGAAGAAAGACCCAGUAAAGAAAAUUUUUGUCGGGGGUCUGAAUCCUGAAGCUACUGAGGAGAAGAUCAGGGAGUACUUCGGAGAGUCUGGGGAGACUGAAGCCAUUAAGCUGCCAAUGGAUCCAAAGUUGAACAAAAGACGAGGCUUUGUUUUCAUCACCUUUGAAGAAGAGGAACCUGUGAAGAAAGUGCUGGAGAAAAAGUUCCACACCAUCAGUGGAAGUAAGUGUGAAAUCAAGGUGGCUCAGCCCAAAGAGGUUUAUCAAUAGCAGCAGUAUGGCUCUGGGGGCCGGGGAAAUUGCAACCGAGGGAACCGAGGCAGCGGUGGUGGUGGCGGAAGUGGAAGAGGUCAGGGUAGUACAAAUUACGGGAAGAGCCAGCGACGUGGUGGCCAUCAGAAUAACUACAAGCCAUACUGAGGCUUCGGCAAGAGUGCCCGACUGACCGCGCACGCUUUGUUUGGAUACUGAGUGAACACAAUUAUGUACCAAAUUUAACUUGGCAAACUUUCUAUGGCCUGUCCCAUGUGCAUCUUAUUUAAAAAUUUCUCCCUGAAAAUCA